rnacentral:rRNA from 1 species
GAUGAACGCUAGCGGCAGGCCUAACACAUGCAAGUCGAGGGGCAGCACAGAAAAAGCAAUGUUUUGGUGGCGACCGGCGGACGGGUGCGUAACGCGUAUGCAACCUACCUUUAACAGGGGGAUAACGGAGAGAAAUUUCCACUAAUACCCCAUAACAUCGAUCAAGGCAUCUUGAUUGGUUGAAAACUCCGGUGGUUAAAGAUGGGCGUGCGUUGUAUUAGGUAGUUGGUGAGGUAAUGGCUCACCAAGCCUACGAUACAUAGGGGGACUGAAAGGUUAGCCCCCCACACUGGUACUGAGACACGGACCAGACUCCUACGGGAGGCAGCAGUGAGGAAUAUUGGUCAAUGGGGGCAACCCUGAACCAGCCAUGCCGCGUGCAGGAAGACGGCUCUAUGAGUUGUAAACUGCUUUUAAACAGGGAUAAAGCACAGUAUGUAUACUGUGUUGAAGGUACUGUAAGAAUAAGGAUCGGCUAACUCCGUGCCAGCAGCCGCCGUAA